GUAAAUAUAGUUUAAAUAAAACGUUAGAUCGUGAAUCUGAUCAUAGACGUUGAAACCUCCUUAUUUACC
rnacentral:tRNA from 1 species